UGAAUACGAGACGCUAAGGCGUCGAAGUAGUGUAUGUCAUACUUCCAAGAAAAGCUUGCACUGUCAUAGAUAAAAAACGCCUGUACCAUAACCGACACAGGUGGGUAGGUAGAGUAUACUAAGGGGCGCGAGAUAACUCUCUCUAAGGAACUCGGCAAAAUAACUCCGUAACUUCGGGAGAAGGAGUGCCUUAUUCGUAAGGUUGCAAUAACAAGAUCCAAGCAACUGUUUAUCAAAAACACAGGUCUCCGCUAAGUCGUAAGACGAUGUAUGGGGGCUGACGCCUGCCCAGUGCCAGAAGGUUAAAGAAGUUGGUUAGCAAUUGCGAAGCUGAUAACUGAAGCCCUGGUGAACGGCGGCCGUAACUAUAACGGUCCUAAGGUAGCGAAAUUCCUUGUCGGGUAAGUUCCGACCCGCACGAAAGGCGUAAUGGUUUGGAUACUGUCUCGGAGAGGGGCUCGGUGAAAUAGACUUGUCUGUGAAGAUGCGGACUACCUGCACCAGGACAGAAAGACCCUAUGAAGCUUUACUGUAACUUGAAAUUGAAAUUGGACUUUAUUCGCGCAGCAUAGGUGGGAGGCGUUGAUUAUAAUCUUGCGGGAUUAUUGGAGCCAUCAGUGAGAUACCACUCUUGUAAUGUUAGAUUUCUAACUUUGAAUCAUUAUCUGGUCAAAGAACAGUUUCAGGCGGGCAGUUUGACUGGGGCGGUCGCCUCCUAAACGGUAACGGAGGCGUACAAAGGUUUCCUCUGAACGGUUAGAAAUCGUAUCUAGAGUGUAAAGGCAUAAGGAAGCUUGACUGUGAGACCUACAAGUCGAGCAGGGACGAAAGUCGGUCUUAGUGAUCUGACGGUACUGAGUGGAAAGGCCGUCACUCAACGGAUAAAAGUUACUCUAGGAUAACAGGCUGAUCUCCCCCAAGAGUUCACAUCGACGGGGAGGUUUGGCACCUCGAUGUCGGCUCAUCGCAUCCUGGGGCGGUAGUACGUCCCAAGGGUUGGGCUGUUCGCCCAUGAAAGCGGUACGCGAGGUGGGUUCAGAACGUCGUGAGACAGUUCGGUCCAUAUCCGGUGUAGGCGUUAGAAUAUUGAGAGGAGCCUUCUUUAGUACGAGAGGACCGAGAAGGACAUACCUCUGGUGUACCAGUUAUCGUGCCAACGGUAAACGCUGGGUAGCUAUGUAUGGAGUGGAUAACCGCUGAAAGCAUCUAAGUGGGAAGCCCACCUCAAGAUAAGUAUUCUC
rnacentral:rRNA from 1 species